UAAGUCCAGAGAAAAAUUAAGGUUUUGAUAUUAAGAUAAUCUACUUUUUCACAAUAUAAUACAUAGUGCUAGUAGGUGUAAGUUUAUUACUUACAUUCUUCCACUUGAGUAAACUUCAAAUGAACAAUCACUACUUACCUUAUAGCCUACUGCAUGCAGCACUGCUACAAUAGGGUGACUAUUACAUGUUAAUUUAAACAUUUAAAUUGUAUUGGUUUAUUAAAUAUGAUACACAAAGCAAUUUGCAGGUGGAAGCAAACCACAAAUUUGAGAGGAACAUAAUGUGAAAGUUAAAUAGUUGAGGUGCUAAAAACUUUUCAAUUUUUUAUUUAUUCUUUCCCGCAAUACUUUUGCAACUUUAAAUAAGUAUGUACUAAAGUCACAUAAACCAAAAAAAAAAAAACAAAGUUUGACUUUGAGGCUGAACUGCCAACCUAACUGGUGACAUCCUUCCAGGACUGUCAGCUGAGUUAACCAUUUAAAAAAAGUGUUUAGUGUCCCUGCAACUUGUCCAUGACUGACGUCUCUGUUUAUCACUUGGGAAUCUACAAAUUCAGAUUCUAAUUAUUUUAUUUAAUACCAUGUCAGCAAGCAAAGGCUAUUUUAAUGGCAAAUAUUCAAUUACAAAAACACAAAUAUCAUAUAAAUACAACAAAAACAAAACAAAUAUAAACAGCAAGUCAUAUUAUAAAUUUUUUUAAUUAACAUAAGAUUAAAAAAAAUCAAGUUCAAGUUCUCUUUAUUAUCAAUCUUCCACAUGUACAGUACAUACAGGGAAUUGAAAUUGCGUUACUGUCAGUCCCAAGGUGCAUGCAGAUCCAAACCCUUUUCAGGCAUAAUGUCAUUAUAUAUGUCCUUAAGUGAAGUAACUUGAUAAAAGAGCAUUCUGCUUGCGUUAAGUCCAGGACAAUCUAAUAAAAUAUGUUUAACAGAUAAGGGAAUCUUACAGAACAUACAUACAGUUGGGUCUUCACCUUUAAGCAAAAAAAGCAUGGGUCAAUUUUUAAUGUCCUUAUUAAGAGCUUCGGAAUCUACAAACAUUGUCGGUUUUCCUAACUGUCAAAAACUAAUGGGUAACUAGCAGAGAUUAGCUGCGGUCGUUAACCAAGGACUGAAACAAACCAAACGUAACCAGAAAUAUAAUUUCCUAACAUUCAAUAUCAUAAAACACAUUCUCACUUGUGAAAUGUAAUCCCUUGCUGUCUGGUUUUUAUAUUUCUUUCGUUUGAACAUCCAAACGCAGAACAGAAGCCCAGCAUCGUCCAUGCAUUUAAAGUACAAGAGCACUGUACAAAGAUGGCGGCGGAUUUGACGCAUUUUUAGGACCUCAAGGUGACAUCUAUGUAUAGAUAUCUAUGGGUUGCAGUGUUGUGCUAGUUACUAAGAAAUAGUAACUAGUUUCAGUUACUAGUUACUUCAUUCAAAAAGUAACGAGUUACUGUUAAAAGUAACUUUUAGUUAUUUUUUUAAGGACAUUCUUUAAUGUUCCCAUUAAUGCCGUUUUAUGUGUUAUAGUCUAUACAAACACACAACAGAUUUAAACACAAAGUAAUUUUUAAACACUAUUUUAUUUAAGUCAGACCAGUACAAACUGAAUAUAUCACAAGGAUUUCUAACGAGCUAACGAGCUGCCUGAAAGCAGAAACUACAUGCCUCAACGAAGCUAGAAUCGAACCUGGUGUCAGUGGACACACUCGAAGUUUUUACCGGACUGUUAGCCAGGGACAGAUCAAUAAAGCUAUUGCACGGUAUGUUGCUGAAAACAUGCAGCCUCUACUGUGGAGUCACCGGCUUUCUGGAGAUGCUUCGACAGAUUGGAGUUGCUGUUUAUCGCAGUAGAUAGGACCUUCGAACCAGAAAGACACAGCUUACAUUUGACUAAAAGGUUUUUGUCUUUAUGCUCAACUAAAGUGAAAUAAUGAGCAUAUUUCCACUUUGAGAAACUCAUCUUGCUCUCGCCUUGAAUCGCCAUUACUGGCGCACAUACAUGAAUAAACAGAAACACGCCCACAGUGCGUCUUCAUGUUUACAGUGGUUGGCAUCCACCAAUCCUACAAUGCGUCGCUGCUGUAAAUAGGUUAGACUGUAGGCUAGACAGCCAAAAUGAGUUAAUUAAAAAAAUAAUGGACAAACGCACCAGAUGGUAACGGAGUUAUUUUGUUUAAAAAGUAAUGCGUUAGCGUAUUAGUUACUGUCAAAAGUAACUGCGUUACAGUAACACGUUACUAGUAACGUGUUACUGCCCAACACUGAUUGGUUGUCAUGUCUUUGUCCCUGUUUCGUGUUAUUUAGUUAAUAAAUUCAGUUUAUUUUAGCUAUCCUGCAUUUGGGUUUGUUUUUAUCCCUGCAUUGCUGACAGAAGGAUUCCGCCAGACCAAGACCCAGCAGUAUAGCAUCAGCCUGGACCGGCUCCGUAGGUGUAUUUUUUUUCCUGGACUGUUUUUUUUGUGUGUGUGCCCCUUUUGUCUAAAAGUGUAAAGUGCCCCUCUCUUAUUAGUAAUAUUAUUAUUAUAAACAACAAUACACUUCUAUACCAUUUGCCAGUAACAAUAAUAAUUAACACAACACAAAAAAAAAAAAUUAGGCGAACUUAUUUACGUGGAGUUGGAGCGGAAGGCGGAUUUACCUUUACACGCUUUGCAGCCGCAUCUUAGAAGCGAGUCUUCAAAACAAGAGCAGCAGACAGGUAACGUGGAAAAUGGACAUUUAUCCUACCAUAAUGUUGUUGUAAACUUAGCGAAUACGCUAGCACGGGACUUAUGAUUAAUUAUAAUACAAGUAUUACUCGAAUGCUGCCACGUUUCUGACAUUGACAUGUCUUUUUUUUAUCCAAGGCCAUUAAUAGGCGCUAGUAUAGUUUAGAAUGUGCUCAUGUCAUUAGCUCGAGGAAAUGCAUUUAAUGAAAUUAAAUCUAAUUCCACGUCCAACUCUAACGUAAAACACAUUUAUAUAUUUGAUUUAAUGAUAGCUAACGCUUCAUCCAUGUAAUACAAAUAAAGUUUUCAAUAUCAACAAAACUAAACAUGAAUUCAACAUGAUUAACUUAUUGAUUCUCACUGUUAUCAUCAUCUCCUUAUUUUUGCUUGAUGUGUGCAUUCUGUGUCUAACAACAAAUUUAAUAGAAUGCCAAGGAAAGAGGGGGCACGGUGGCUUAGUGGUUAGCACGUUCGCCUCACACCUCCAGGGUUGGGGGUUUGAUUCCCGCCUCCACCUUGUGUGUGUGGAGUUUGCAUGUUCUCCCCGUGCCUCGGGGGUUCCUCCGGGUACUCCGGUUUCCUCCCCGGUCCAAAGACAUGCAUGGUGGGUUGAUUGUCAUCUCUGGAAAAUUGUCCCUAGUGUGUGAUUGAGUGAGUGAAUGAGAGUGUGUGUGUGCCCUGCGAUGGGUUGGCACUCCGUCCAGGGUGUAUCCUGCCUUGAUGCCCGAUGACGCCUGAGAUAGGCACAGGCUCCCCGUGACCCGAGGUAGUUCGGAUAAGCGGUAGAAGAUGAGUGAGUGCCAAGGAAAGAAAGGAUCAAAAGAAAAAACACAAGGACCUGUCUGAUACAGCUAAAGGUAGCAUCCCUGUCACAAGUUGGCUGAGGAGAGAGAAUAAAGAUGACGGUACUGUUUGUUUGUUUGUUUUUAUGUUUGUUUUUGUUUUUUUAAGCUAGUAAGCUAUUACUUAUAUUACAGUCUAAACAAUACUUUAGACAUUUUUGUUAAAUGAAUAAAUCACCCAAAUUGAUUAUUUUCUCAUUUAAUCAUCUAUAUAUUUCAAUUCUGUAUGACUUUCUUCUGUUGAAUAUUUACAAAAUUUGUUUUGUCCAUAUACUGAAAGCCAGUGGGGACCAAAAUGGAGUCCCCAUUAAUUCCAUUCAUUAUAUGGCCAUUUGUUUUUCAUAGAGAGCUGCAGUUCAGAUAAGGAAAGUAUUGAAGAGAUUCAAGGGAAAGCAGUUGAGACAAGUGAGAAAGAUAAAGGAGAUGUUAGAGCCAACGAGGAAGAAAGUGGGGAAAUACAAGGAGACAUUAGGCUCAGUGAGGAAGAGGUGGAAAGGGAGGUACAAGAAGAGAUGAGUCAAGAAAAUUAUACAGAGAUAACAGAGGAAGGAGCUGCAGGAGCAGAUAUUGAAUACCAGAUUCAGGGUACAAGUGAACAAGACAUUACAGUUUCCAACAGACCCAGCUCAUGUUGAUCUUAAAAUACAGGUUAAUAGCGACUACAUACAGUUCUGCUGCUCUCUUGGGCCAUGUCAGCCAGUAGCUGGCUUUCCAAAAAAUCCACAAGGAAUCCUAAAGUGCCUAAAAGACAAUGAGAUUGAGUCUGUUUUCCCCUCUCUUUCUGAACUCCUAAAAAUUUAUGCAACAUUGCCUGUCUCCACUUCUACAGUUAGGUCAUUUUCUAAGUUAAAACUUCUGAAAUCCAGUCUUCGAAGUCUAUGUAAUGAAGAGAGGCUUUCUGACCUACUGCUGCUCUCCAUUAAGCGAGACAUUCCAAUUAAUCGUGAUGGUCAUUCAAAUAUUUAAAAAGACAGCAGAUCGACGAAUACUGAUUUAAAUACAGUGCCCUUUUUGGUCCUUCCGCCCCUGCCCCACUGCAGAUACAGCAAGAUGUCUUAUCAUGUUGCAAUGGCAGUGUAUAUUAAACUUAAUUACAUUAUGUUUCACACUGGUUUGGCUGUUGGAAUCGGAGAAAGUUUCUGACUAUGAGCCAGAAUGAAGACUCAGUGGAAGAACAACUAAAUAAAAUCAAAAAAGAGAGCAGAUCAAUAAAAGGAUUCAUCACCAGAUAUAUUCUAAACACCAGGACUGUAAUUGAUGAUGAGUAAAUAUUAGAUGAUUAUCAAGCUUCAUUUACUCUGUUGAACACAACCAUG